rnacentral:rRNA from 1 species
UACACAUGCAGUCGACGGCAGCACAGGAGAGCUUGCUCCUUGGGUGGCGAGUGGCGGACGGGUGAGGAAUACAUCGGAAUCUACUCUGUCGUGGGGGAUAACGUAGGGAAACUUACGCUAAUACCGCAUACGACCUACGGGUGAAAGCAGGGGAUCUUCGGACCUUGCGCGAUUGAAUGAGCCGAUGUCGGAUUAGCUAGUUGGCGGGGUAAAGGCCCACCAAGGCGACGAUCCGUAGCUGGUCUGAGAGGAUGAUCAGCCACACUGGAACUGAGACACGGUCCAGACUCCUACGGGAGGCAGCAGUGGGGAAUAUUGGACAAUGGGCGCAAGCCUGAUCCAGCCAUACCGCGUGGGUGAAGAAGGCCUUCGGGUUGUAAAGCCCUUUUGUUGGGAAAGAAAUCCAGCCGGCUAAUACCUGGUUGGGAUGACGGUACCCAAAGAAUAAGCACCGGCUAACUUCGUGCCAGCAGCCGCGGUAAUACGAAGGGUGCAAGCGUUACUCGGAAUUACUGGGCGUAAAGCGUGCGUAGGUGGUCGUUUAAGUCCGUUGUGAAAGCCCUGGGCUC